UAGUUUAGUGGCAGAGUACAGCAGUACUUGCCUAGCAUGCAAGAGGCCCUGGGUUCAAUCCCCAGUAACCUAA
rnacentral:tRNA from 1 species